rnacentral:lncRNA from 1 species
AGAGGCACCUGCCCGUCCGCCAGCCUCAAAACAGCGCGCGGUGCCGCUCCCGGGAUACCUGGGUUCCCGCUGGUCCUGCCACGACCCCCGGGGCGCUCCUCGCUGCGGCCUUAUUAGGAGGCGGCCCCCGCAGGGAGCAGGAAGCAGAAAGUCUCUGCAAACCCUUCCAGAGGGCGGACGACGGUGGAGUGCUGAAUUAUACCCAUAUGGCCAACAGAUGGGGACCCUGGGCUGCAGGAGCUGUAGGCCCCCCCGGGAGAACCUCUCUUCUCUGCCCUGCGCGGGCUCUUGAGGACCGUGGUCAAAGGAGCCCAAGUCUUGCAUCGCGGCAUCCUGACACACGCUCAUUGGCCCCAUGAAGUCGGGGGCGCUGAUUGAGAAGCGUUAUGAUGAGGUCACUGCCAGCCGUGAAUGCGCUCUCUGCGUGCCAGGAACGACCGCAUCCUGUUCCACGUCCUGGAACUGCUGGGCUCAGGUGUGCAGCCCCGUGGCCAGAAUAAUGCCUGCCCCAUCACAAGAGAUGGCUCCCAUCCUUCCUCUUGCUGACGGAGUCGUUUGGGGCUGGAUGUGCUCAGAGGAGAGGUCAUAAGGUAAAGAUAGGAGGUGGGCGAGCAGCCCUGCUGUAUGAAACCUCAACUUUCCACAUCCUGCUCGUCUUCAAGGCCAGCUCUGGGCCCAGCACCCUCAGGGACCCUGGGCCCCUCUGGUCCACAGGGUGAGCUCCCUUCAGAGGACACAGCACACACGGCCAUGCAGGGCUGGGUGACCUGGCAGGUGAGAAAGCUCUGCCUCCUCCACCCAAGUGGGGGCUCCUGGAGGUUAAGGGUCAUGUCUUCUUGGCUUUUAUCCCCAUGAUGUCAGCACAGGGGAGGCUCCCCGGGAGAGUUUUUCCCCCAGCAUGCCUGGGAACUGCCGUCAGCCACCAUCGUGAAAGCUGAGGUGUUUGCUUGUCAUCACUUACAUAUUUUCAGCUUAAAUACCAUACGGUUUCUUCGUAUCUUCCAAUGAAUGAAAGGAAAAAAAUGUAUAUGGGGGGGUGUGAAAAUUAACUCAUAAAAAUCCUUGACUUACCAAAAAAAUUGAAGAAAUGUGCUUCAUACACACAGAUGUGGCAAUUGGGAUUCUCCUUUCAUGUGCAGGAGCCCCAGGAUGGAAGGGCUGCCAGGCGUACCGAGGGAAGUAUUUCUCAUCUCUGUAAAGUUGAUAGAAUCUAAUUUCUUAGUGGAGAAACUUGCUGCGGUUGUUAGUUUGUGGUAACUGCCCCUGUUUAACUGGUUUAUGGCUGAUCCCAAUCCCAAAGAGCAGUAUAAUUCAGUUAUCUACGAUGGUGUGGAAGGCACAAUUUGUGCAUUAAAGGGCAAAAGUACACUGUUCAGGUGGGCUGGCCCUUGGGAGCCCUCCUGAGAUAUUUCACAGCGGGUAUGAGUAGAUGGGGGAGGACAUAUUUUGUUUCACCUGCUUAAAAUGUUUUCAGACCAAUAACCUUGUGGCCAUUCUCUGUGUUAGAUCCAAUUUCAAGCUCUUUCUUCUGGAGCAUCUUGGUCCUGUCCACUGCUGCUCCUUUAGUCUACUUCUGCAGUGAGUGGGGUAUUGUGUGUCCUUUCCUGGCACUGGAACAUUUAUAAAUGUAGCAAGCCUUCCUCUGCUUUGGCUGCUGGCUAAAUCCUAUGACUCUACACCUAACCAACCUCAUAAAUAGGGAGGCCUCAUACUGUUGUGCAGGUUGCACACUGUACAACUCCAAGGAAUGCCAUUUACAUGGACCACAAUGGAACCUCCAGAGCUGUAUUAGGACGACCUGCACAAUACCCCAGUAAAGCCCCAUCUCAUAAAUUUCUCUACAUGCCAAGGGCUCUCUUCUAAAUACCACCCUGACAAAACAGACAAAAUUCCUACCCCCAGGAAGCUUACAUUCUAGUGGGGGGAAAUACAUAAUAAACAAAUUACAGAUGCCUAUGUGUAAUAUUAUGUCACACACAUAAUAUUACCUAUGUACAUACAGCACUACAUACGUGCAUAUGUAAUAUUACAUGUAUAUGUAAUUAUGUAUAAUAUAUUAGUGGUGAUAAAGAAGUAGAAAAUAAAUCAGGGAAGGGGAAGAGAGUGGCGGAGGUGAAUUUUAGAGAGCAGAGAUCUGGGAAGGACUUUCUGAGAAGAUGCCAUUUGUGCGAAGCCUGAAGAGUGAGGAAUGUGCUGUGUUCCCUGGGGGAAGGACACUCCACACAGAAGGAACAGCACGUGCAAAGGCCCUGAGGCAGGAGUGUGACCAGUGCUGAAGAAGCGGCAGGGAGGCUGGUGUGGCUACAAUGGGGUCAGAGGGAUAGUGAUGUGGUCAGAUGGAUCCCGAAGCAGGGCCACUUCAGGCUUUGGAGGCUGUGAUGUACUUGGAGCUUACUCUGCAUCAGAUGAGAAGCCGUCCAAGGGUUUUGAGUAGAGGAGUGGCAAAAUUUCAAAAAAAUCACCCUGACCAACAAGUUGAGAUCAGACAAAGGAUACAGAGGAGGAAGCAGGAGACCAAUUAGGAGCAAUUGGGGGGGUGGGAGCAGCGUGUCGGGGUCAAGGUUAGGGAGGUGGGCAGGGGCAGGGCAGUCCAGGUUGAGUCUUGCCCCCACGUUGCAGGAAUAUUGGGUUUGAUUUCCCAGCAGGGGGGCUGAGAUUUAUUUAUCCUGACUGCCGAGUGCAGCAGGGCUGCUGGCAUGAGGGGUGUCCCGGGCAUGGGGAACAAGAUGCUGGGAGGCUGGAUCAGGUCAGAAAUGGUGCAAGUGGGAGAUUUGCUCGGGUGUGCUCUGAAGGCCUUGCUGACGGACUGAAGGAAGCAAGAGGAAAGUCAAGGCGGACUCCUGGGUUGUGGCUUGAGCAACGGAAUGGAUGUUGGUUCUGGUCAUGAGAAGCGGAAAACUGGAAGAGAACCAGCCAGGUUUGGGGGAGAAACAAGGGGUUCCACUACGACCAUGACAUAAGAUGAUGUUAAAUGGGAGAUGCCUAUUAGUCACUUGGCGCUUCUGUGUGUAAUCUACAAAGGAAGUCACACAUUCAUUCAAUUACUAUUUGUCGAAUGAGUAAGUGGGUGCCAGCCCUUCUGGAUGAGGGAGGCCAGACUGGGAGUCAAAGAUGGCAAUUCAGAGUGAUGAUGCUAACACGACCCCAGGGGAAGCUGUCCCACCCCUGUCACUGUCACCGGUCGUACCAGCCAUUGGCAGAGGAGCUGAGCUGGGAACGAAGAUCUCUCUGCUAUAGGCAAAGGGUCUGCGUGGAGGAGAGACGGCAGGACCCAUGUGCCCAGGCCUGGAUUGAACCCAAGUCCUCGUGGGUACCAGUCCAUGUGGAUUCGUUUCCGCUGCACCACAGCAGGAACUCCUAUCUGUCUUUUUAAUUUUAGCCAUCCCAGUGUAUGUGAAGUGGUAUCUCAUGGCAGUUUUGAUUUGUGUUGUCUUAGUGACUAAUGAUGUUUUGCUUCUGUCAGUUUCAGCCUCUGAAGGAUGUGGGGUCCCCAGACCAGGACAUGAUGGUAAUUAGAAUAGUGCUGUCGACACCUUCCCUUCAAGCCUAAAAAGGUGCAGGUUUUAUCAGAGUAGGAGCCAACAGGUAGGCUCUUUCCGCAACACGUGUGGUUUUUGCCUGAGAGCCUGGCAGUGGAAGUGAACGCCUCCCCCCAAAAACAGUUUAAAAAUUAUUUUCACACACUCAACAAGUAGCUGAAGAAAAAAUAAACUAAUGUGGAUAAAAGAGAAACUCUACCGGAAGAGAUUUUAUUAUUUAAAUACUUUCUAGGAUGAUAUUUAUUUGCAGGGAAACCCACUCCCCCAACUCACCUCCUGCGCUGGGCGAAUGGCACCACUGCCGUGGACAAAGACUGCCUAUCACCUGCCAUUUCAGAAAACAAAACAUGCCAUGGCCAUCGAGCCAUCAGCCACAGCAGCCGACCCAGACGGGACACCCUGAGGGGAAUUUAGGAUGGAGAAAAGCAGGACACUGGCCCUAAAUAUUAGGAUGCGUAUCGAAGACUUAGUUUCAAGGAGCCCAGACUCUUGCAUCGCCCCAAGCAUAGAAAAGCACUAAAAUCAUUAAUGUCAGACGUCUGAUUUCUUUUAAUUAGUGAUAAUCUUUUGAGGUUUGACAACAUUUUUUCAUUUUGUUUUGUUUUUCAGCAAAAACUCAUAUAAGCCUAGUUCCUCCCUUAGCUUGUUGCAAGAGUCCCUUCGAUGUUUCCAUGAGGCUAUAUCCCAGGCUCUAGUCCUCAGAGAUUCCCCAGAUAAAACACAGUUCUCAACUCUGAGGUUGGGCAUUUUUUCUUUUCCGUCGACGCCCAGGACAUCCACUGGUCCUGUACUAUCCGAGAGAAACAGGCACUUUCUUAGAUCUGGGAGUUAAACUUCCUUCAGAGACAUCUCAUGGCAACUACCUCACGCACGGACUGUUUCCUGCCUGCUGGGGGUUUUAUUGGGAGCCCUCUGUUGCACAAUCACAAGAAUUUCAGUGUUCCCAGCCUGCAGUUCUGGGAUUAGAGGGUGCAGUUCUGGGAUUAGAGGGCUAAGUUCCUGGGGCCCUGGAAGGAAAAUCUAGCACUAGGAUUCUCUAAAGCCUAAACUUGAUGGGAAAUGGGUUUGAUGCUCACUUAGUGUGCAAACCAGGAAUUCCCUAAAAAUGACAUUGCGAGUCUAGUGGGAAUCCUACCAACAUGUUCGGGGAGGUUCCAGAACUUUCAUCAUUGUUUGGGAAAUGGGAUUCCAAUCUUGAAUGCCUCCUUCCCAGGCUCAUUCUUUCAUCCUGUAUCAUGAUGCCUGACUCUGCUUUUUAGAGCUUAUAGCAGGAGACAUCUCCCACCACGGCAGAUUUUUAAAAAAGAAGUUUGCAGUUGUUUACACAUACCCUGUUCUCUGGGGAGCUUGGGUCAGGAUCCGAUUGUAGACCAGUUUUGUGCUCUGGGAGCAGCCAGCUGGAGAGACAGUUAAAGAAGAGAGAGGAGAAGCAGCAGCUAAAGGCAGGCUUUGUACAUUUUGUAAACAGUCUGGCCUCUAUCACCUACAGCCCAUGUGGUCUGGGGCAAAUGACUUUCUAAGAACCUCCAUUUCCUCCUCUGAAAAACCAAGGUAAGGCUGCUUACUCACCACAAAGGGCUGAUAUGAGGCAUAUAUAAACCACCAAGAGAGCACUUGUUGUGCUCAGCGAUACCGAAGAGGCUGUGGUUGUUUUUGCUCUUCCCUCCGGCAGCGAGUGGAAUGCGCCUCUCCUUGUCUCAUCAGCCUCCUCCCAGACCCCCCACCCCAAACCCAGGGGAGAACUCCGGGCAUCCAGAAGGUGUUCCAGAACACUGUUCUUAGGUGAAACAAAUUCAGGUUUCCAGUUGAAUAAAAGAGACAAUAGAUGAGUGGAUUUGGUCAUGAAACAGAUAUGUACAGAGACCCUGUUAAUGUUCCAGACUGUUCUAGGCACAGAAGAAACAGCUGUGAAUGAAACAGACAAGAAUUCAUGCCCUCAUGGAGCUUCUCUGCUAGAAAGGAGAGAGAGACUCUAAAUAAAGAAAUCGCGGAAAUGGACGGUAACUGGAGGAAGGGCUAUGCCAAAAAUAAAUCGAGGAAGGAGAAGGCCAGUGGAAGGGGACAGGGAGGCCAGAGAUGAGUCAGGGAGGUCGUCUUCUUUUUUAAAGAUUCUUAACAUUUAUUGAAGCGUAACGUACACACAGAAAAGUAUGCGUGUCAGAGUUCCCGUCGUGGCUCAGCGGUUAACAAAUCCGAC